UGGGGAAUCUUGGACAAUGGGGGCAACCCUGAUCCAGCGACGCCGCGUGGGUGAUGAAGGCCUUCGGGUUGUAAAGCCCUUUUCUCGGUGAGGAUGAUGACGGUAGCCGAGGAAUAAGCACCGGCUAACUCCGUGCCGGCAGCCGCGGUAAUACGGAGGGAGCUAGCGUUGUUCGGAAUUACUGGGCGUAAAGCGCGCGUAGGCGGCCUAUCAAGUCAGGGGUGAAAUCCCGGGGCUCAACCCCGGAACUGCCCUUGAAACUGGUAAGCUAGAAUCCUGGAGAGGCGAGUGGAAUUCCGAGUGUAGAGGUGAAAUUCGUAGAUAUUCGGAAGAACACCAGUGGCGAAGGCGACUCGCUGGACAGGUAUUGACGCUGAGGUGCGAAAGCGUGGGGAGCAAACAGGAUUAGAUACCCGUGUAGUCC
rnacentral:rRNA from 1 species